CUGCCUGUCUGUCACUCUCAUACACAUUCUCAGGGUGACAAAGGACAGAAAGGAGAAGUCGGAGCCACAGGUUUGCCCGGAAAUCCAGGCAAAGAUGGUCGAGCUAAUCCUAUUUGUGUGGUGGGCCCUAAAGGACAAAAGGGUGUUCCUGGUGUAGUUGGUCCAGAGGGGCUUGCAGGAGAAUCAGGCCGCCCAGGACCUCCUGGACCACCUGGAGUUGGAAAACCAGGACCACCAGGGCCCCCUGGUGGAACUCCAGAAUCUAAAGGAGAAAAAGUA
rnacentral:lncRNA from 1 species